rnacentral:misc_RNA from 1 species
GCGUUCGGCGGGCCUCCUGGAGGUCUUACACCGACCCGAGUUUGGUGGAGUUUGCCCCCGUCUUGGCGGAGUUACGGCUGGUCAAAGUUUUGGGACCUUUCGUCUUUGGGGGGCGCUCUCCCCGCCCCCCUGGGGUCCACCGGCUCGGGGGAGGCGGCG